rnacentral:rRNA from 1 species
GUCUUUUUGAAUUUUAUUUAAAGUCUAAUCUGCCCAAUGAAUUUUUUAAUGGCCGCAGUAUUCUAACUGUGCAAAGGUAGCAUAAUCAUUAGUUUUUUAAUUGAAGACUUGUAUGAAUGAUUGGACAAGAUAUAAGCUGUCUCAAUUUAAUUUUGUUAGAAUUUUAUUUUUUAGUUAAAAAGCUAAAAUAAUUUUAAAAGACGAGAAGACCCUAUAGAUCUUUAUAUUUUUUAUAUUUUAAUUUUUUAAGAAUUUAUUUAAAUAAAAUAUAUUAUAAUAUUUUGUUGGGGUGACAUUAGAAUUUAAAAAACUUCUAAUAAUAAUUUAACAAAAAUUUUUGAUUUUUUUUGAUCUUUUAUUAUUGAUAAAAAAUUUAAGUUACCUUAGGGAUAACAGCGUAAUUAUUUCGGAGAGUUCAUAUUGAUGAAAUAGAUUGCGACCUCGAUGUUGGAUUAAGAUUAAUUCUGGGUGUAGCAGUUCAGAAUAUUAAGUCUGUUCGACUUUUAAAUUCUU